AAUUCUUGGGCGUAGCAAAUCUGAACAAAUUAAUUGUGAGAAAUUGUAGUGAGGUGGCAGAGGUUUUUCAACUUGAGGAGCUAAAUGUUGGAGAAGGACAACAUGUUAGGCCAUUAAUUGAAGUAAGAAUGAUGGAAUUGGAUGCAUUACCUCAGUUGACAUGUUUGUGGAACAAGGAUCCCCAUGGAAUUCUGGGCCUUCAAAUCCUACAAUACCUGACAAUUAAGAAAUGUUCCCUCUUGAGAAAGCUAUUCACAUGUUCCACAGCCAUGGCUCUUCAACAACUUAAAGUACUUUAUUUGGAGUCUUGUCCGGUGAUGGAAGAAGUUAUUGCAGCAACAGAGGAUGGGCUCAAGGAAGUGAUUGAUGAUGUGAUUGAAUUCCCAAAGUUGGAGUGGCUAAUACUGAAAGAUCUACCAAACCUCAACAAUUUCUGUAAUGCGAAAUAUAAUUUUAAUUUGCCAUCAUUACAAAGAGUUGUUCUGAAGAGGUGUCCGAAUAUGCACAACUUUACUUUUGGACAAGUACGCAUGUCACAGAUAUUUGUAAGUACACAUGGCAAUGAUGGCCUUCAAAUAGAAGAUCUCAAUAAGUAUUUAAAGGAACGACUUCUUUUGAAAGGAGAGGAAUGCGCAACCGUGGAUGAAAAUGAUCACCGCUGCGACGAAGUACGGUUCUCCUACCUUGAGCGGCUAUAGGAGUAAAACAGGUAAUUGAUAGAAUCAUUGGCAGCCAGCAAACCUUUUCCCUAUUAGGACACUCUCUGUUACCUUGGUGCAACUUGAGUUCAGUUAUAUAUGAUCGAGUUCAAGUUGCUGAGAUUGGAGUAUGCUGGAUUACCCUCUUACAGCCA